GUUGGAGUGUUCUUGCAUCUCUUUCACAGAUGGGACAACUCCUCGGCCUUAUACAGGGGGUUCUUCUCACAGAGGCGGAUGGAUACGUGCAGGCGGAUGGAUACCUCCAGUGCUCAGAGAUAGACACUCGCGCUAUAGCAAGGUGGAAUUCUGAGGGACUCACGCAAGAGGUCACAGCGGAAGUCUGAACACUUACUGCAGUUGGACCUGAGAUCUUGGAGAGGCCUUCUAUGGGCAGCUACCAGGCAUUCUCAGCAGGGAG